UACGGAGGUUGCAAGCGUUACUCGGAAUCACUGGGCGUAAAGGGCGCGUAGGCGGCCUAGCAAGUCCGGUGUGAAAGCCCAGGGCUCAACCCUGGAAGUGCACUGGAAACUGUUAGGCUUGAGUUCCGGAGAGGAGGGGGGAAUUCCCGGUGUAGCGGUGAAAUGCGUAGAUAUCGGGAGGAAUACCGGUGGCGAAGGCGCCCCUCUGGACGGAAACUGACGCUGAGGCGCGAAAGCGUGGGGAGCAAACAGG
rnacentral:rRNA from 1 species